rnacentral:lncRNA from 1 species
UUGUUUGAUUGAAGAAUGUGUGUUCUAGGUUUUGUUGCUGUUGUUACUUCUUUCUUUUAGUUCACUUCUGACAUGAACCUUGUCACACUGAUUGAAUUUUCCAUUUCUUAUUAUACUUUACCUAAAAUAUAAUAUUCUUAUAUUUUUGUAUCUAUUGUAUUCUAAAGCUCAUUAUGUUAUUUUUUUUACCCCCAGGAUACUGUAGUACUUGUUUGAUUCAGUGUUUGUUACGGGAAGAAAAGCUAUAUAUUCUGGAGUGCCUCUAAGAAGAGAUGAAGGAAGAAGUCCUCUUUGUAGGCCUUGAACUAUAGUUUUACCACUGAAAAAGAUUAUCUUAUUCUAAACCCAGUGAAAAAAAGGUGUUUUUUUUUCUUUGUUUGUUUUGUUUGUUUGUUUGUUUUAUCUACCUGUUUUUAAAAGGAUAUGUAAUGCAUGAUAGACGUAACAGAAAGAACUGUGCUUAUUCACCAAGGAUAAUCAGCUAGGUGUGCCAGCACACUGCCCACGACUUCCUGAACUGAUGAAACUAAAAAGACCAGCCACAGUGAUGAUAACUAACAUGUACAGAAACUUCUGCUCUGGGACUGUCUGCCUUGUAAGACAGUGUGAAAAAUACUAUGGGGCAACUAAGAAUGCCUGCUUGCGUGCAAAGCAGUAUCCCUCCUUGACCAUUUAAGCAAAAUAACAAGAACCAGUGUCAAAGGUGGAUGCAGAGUUACAGGAAGUGGCUAGAGAAGAACAGAAAUUUAAAAUGGAAAAUGAACUAUUCUACACAGGUCUGCCAUUCUAAUUCACUUUAUUUAGCACUUCUACUCUAGAAAACUUACUAACAGAAAAAAAUUACAGUGAAUAGUGGAUUAACAGCAUUCAAGUGUCUGCAUAUACACUCCUCUCUUUUGGACUCUGAAUAGAUUGAAUAGUUGAUAAGAUGUAAUUAGGAACCCAUCUUGCAGUUAUUCAUUUGUAUGAGAAAGAACUACAGAUGAAGGAUCUAACAAAUAAUUAGUUUUUCUUAAACACUUGCCUAAUUAAAUUGCAAGAUACAGCAACUCUGAUUCUCUCCCUAAUGUACUUCUUAAAGGGUCAAGGAAUAGGGCUUCAGAUAUAUCCUCCUUCUGGGAAAUUAGCACAUUCCUCUCUUCCUGAAUGUUACACAAUGAAUUUACUAAUUAGUCAGGGCAGAUAAUGUCUCUUGUUCAUUUCAAGAUAGCCCAUUAGUGGAGGUGUUUUGCACGGGAGUUGCUUUUGUGUGUGUGUGUAUUGUUUUGUAGGUUUUUGUUUGUUUGUUAAUUAAUUUAUUACCCACUGUAGCAGGUUUUGCCUGUUAAUAGUUCUUGCUUCGGUAGUAACUGCUAACAGUUUUUAACUCCAACCCUAGCAUGGCAGAAAAAGAACUGAAAGUGCAAUCUAUGAGAAUCAAGAUGGCAUGGGAUACAGAU